GGAGCAUACAGAUCAAGAAAUAUGGGAGGUUCUUGAAAAGUGUCAACUUCGAGCAGUCAUUCAAGAAAAAGAAGAUGGUCUGAAUUCCGUAGUUGCACAAGAUGGAUCUAACUGGAGCAUGGGACAGCGGCAACUAUUUUGUCUAGGACGAGCAUUACUAAAGAGAAGCAGGAUAGUAGUGCUUGACGAAGCCACUGCAUCAAUUGAUAAUGCAACAGACUCUAUCCUUCAAAAAACCAUAAGAAAGGAAUUCACAGAAUGCACUGUAAUCACUGUGGCUCAUAGAAUACCAACUGUGAUGGACUGCACCAUGGUGCUUUCCAUUAGCGAUGGGAAACUGAUAGAGUACGAUGAGCCAUUGAAGCUGAUGAGCAGGGAAGGGUCACUAUUUGGGCAGCUUGUGAGGGAAUAUUGGUCUCGCACCUCAAACAGCAGCAACUAGUUAGAAGAUUGGCAACAAUAACCAUGGCAGCUAAAAGAAAAUGAUUUGGCAGUUUGAUAUACGCUUUUAGUUUAUUUUUUACUUUUCAUGUUUUAUUUCUU
rnacentral:misc_RNA from 1 species